rnacentral:rRNA from 1 species
UACGGAGGGGAGCUAGCGUUGUUCGGAAUUACUGGGCGUAAAGCGCACGUAGGCGGAUUUGUAAGUCAGGGGUGAAAUCCCGGGGCUCAACCUCGGAACUGCCUUUGAUACUGCAAAUCUCGAGUCCGGAAGAGGUGAGUGGAAUUCCUAGUGUAGAGGUGAAAUUCGUAGAUAUUAGGAAGAACACCAGUGGCGAAGGCGGCUCACUGGUCCGGUACUGACGCUGAGGUGCGAAAGCGUGGGGAGCAAACAGG